rnacentral:tRNA from 1 species
AAAGUGAAAAAUAGAGUUCUAUGUUUGAUUACGGAUCGAAAAGGUUGUUCAUUUAUAUAAUUUAGUUUA